rnacentral:rRNA from 1 species
UACGUAGGGAGCAAGCGUUGUCCGGAAUCAUUGGGCGUAAAGCGCGCGUAGGCGGUUCGAUAAGUCGGGUGUGAAACCUCCAGGCUCAACCUGGAGACGCCACCCGAUACUGUCGUGACUAGAGUCCAGUAGGGGAGCGUGGAAUUCCCGGUGUAGCGGUGAAAUGCGCAGAUAUCGGGAAGAACACCGGUGGCGAAGGCGGCUCUCUGGGCCUGUCCUGACGCUCAGGCGCGAAAGCUAGGGGAGCGAACAGG